CUCUUAUUUGGUCGCGGGAGUUACUGCUCGGACAGGCGGCAGGUCCAGGUGUUUCUGGGUCCGCGUAGAGCUUGGAGCACAGCCUCAGAAGGCUCAAGAUUAAGAAUGGCAAGAACAAAUCGAGUUCAGAUGAGGGCCUCCUGGAGGACUGUCAUUGAUCUGACUGGCUGAGUAGGUGGGAGUGUUGUUGAAGGCCUCCUUUGCCCCCAAGGCCUUGCCAUCCAGCAGAAGUCAGGACAGCUGCUGAUGCCUGUCUACACUUAACCACACUGACUGAAGUUCUUGGGGCUUUGCACAGUGAUGGCCAUGGUCAGAUGGGGCAGUUCAAGACUUCAUCCUCAACCUGAAAAUGGGAGAGUGCCAACUGUGUGAAAGCAAGAGGGCAGCAGUACCCUUUACUGCAAUGCCAGGAGUCCCCAGAUUGCCAAGUACGGGCACUCAGCAAUGACACUGGGGCUGUUUUUCUGCCAGGACAGCUAGUCCAGAAGUUGCCAUGUCAACAUCAUUGGAUUCCUAGCUUCUUUCAGCAAUAACUCCUCUUUUUUUCCUGCCACAGGAAGAUACAUGGUCUGUGGGUGACUAUAGCCGCUCACUUCUACAAAAGCUUCAUAAACUUCAGAAGCAAAAGGGAGAGUGUGGGAAAUACCCCCCAUCUCCUUGGUAUAGUGUAAUUCCAGCCUGUUGUUGCUUCUCUGCUAUAUGGGGGCCUGGGCCAAACUGCCCCAGGACCUUCCGUCAGCCUACUGCUUUGUUUCAGCCUUAUUAGAUCUUUUCCCAGCCUUAGGUGGUUUGUGAGGGGCCCGGUGCCUAUUUUGAUUUUGAGUUGCCAUUCUCAGAGCUGUCAACAUUCGAGAUCCCAGAAGUCACCAACCUUUGCCUGCCUCCUGUGAAAUUGGGAUCAAAUUUCCAUGUAAAUUAAAAUCUCUUUUAGUACUUUCACAUUCUUUGAAGUUAGGGAGAAUAUGUCCACAAAGCCUAACUCAUCGACCCGGAGUGAUCAGGCAAGCAGCAAGAGCCAUUGGGAAAGCUAGGUUACUUCCCGAAGCCUCUUCUCCCUCUGGCCCGGAAGGGGCCCCGGGACAGGCUUUGGUCCAGAGAGAAGUGAAGGAAAUGACAGACUGUGCUGCUCCCACCUUGCUCUUGGGAGGAAAGUAUUACUUUCGCCUCAAGCGGAGGCAGUUUGGGAGAGGAAUAAGUGAUAGUGUUGACCCUCAAGAGAAGGAAAAGGCCACUGAAGCAUUUUCUUUUAAGGUACAAAAGGGAGUUUGGAAGGAAACGGACAAGCCAGCUAACCUGGAGAGCAACAUGUGA